rnacentral:rRNA from 1 species
GACGAACGCUGGCGGCGUGCUUAACACAUGCAAGUCGAACGCUGAAGCUUGGUGCUUGCACUGGGUGGAUGAGUGGCGAACGGGUGAGUAAUACGGGAGUAACCUGCCCUUGACUCUGGGAUAAGCCUGGGAAACUGGGUCUAAUACUGGAUACGACAUGUCACCGCAUGGUGGUGUGUGGAAAGGGUUUUACUGGUUUUGGAUGGGCUCACGGCCUAUCAGCUUGUUGGUGGGGUAAUGGCUCACCAAGGCGACGACGGGUAGCCGGCCUGAGAGGGUGACCGGCGACACUGGGACUGAGAGACGGCCCAGACUCCUACGGGAGGCAGCAGUGGGGAAUAUUGCACAAUGGGCGGAAGCCUGAUGCAGCGACGCCGCGUGAGGGAUGACGGCCUUCGGGUUGUAAACCUCUUUCGGCACGGAAGAAGCGAAAGUGACGGUACGUGCAGAAGAAGCGCCGGCUAACUACGUG